rnacentral:rRNA from 1 species
CCCGCUGAACUUAAGCAUAUCAAUAAGCGGAGGAAAAGAAACUAACAAGGAUUCCCCUAGUAACUGCGAGUGAAGCGGGAAAAGCUCAAAUUUAAAAUCUGGCGGUCUCGCGGCCGUCCGAGUUGUAAUCUGGAGAAGCGUUUUCCGCGUCGGACCGUGUACAAGUCUUCUGGAACGGAGCGUCGUAGAGGGUGAGAAUCCCGUCUCUGACACGGACAGCCGAUGCUUCAUGUGAUACGCUCUCGAAGAGUCGAGUUGUUUGGGAAUGCAGCUCAAAAUGGGUGGUAAAUUCCAUCUAAAGCUAAAUAUUGGCGAGAGACCGAUAGCGAACAAGUACCGUGAGGGAAAGAUGAAAAGCACUUUGGAAAGAGAGUGAAACAGUACGUGAAAUUGUUGAAAGGGAAACGCUUGAAGUCAGUCGCGUCGUCCGAGACUCAGCCUCGCCUCGGCUUGGUGUACUUCUCGGACGACGGGUCAGCAUCAAUUUUGCCCCUUGGAUAAUGGCGAGGGAAAUGUGACACCUUUGCGGGUGUGUUAUAGUCUCUAGUCGCAUGCAAGGGUCGGGAUUGAGGAACUCAGCACGCGCCUUCGGGCGUCGGGGUUCGCCCACGAUACGUGCUUAGGAUGUUGGCGUAAUGGCUUUAAACGACCCGUCUUGAAACACGG